rnacentral:rRNA from 1 species
AAACUCAAAGGAAUUGACGAGGGCCCGCACAGCGGUGGAGCAUGUGGUUUAAUUCGACGCAACGCGAAGAACCUUACCAGGGCUUGACAUCCCUGACCGCGUAUGAAAGUACGUUUUCACCCUCGGGUGACAGGGAGACAGGUGGUGCAUGGUUGUCGUCAGCUCGUGUCGUGAGAUGUUGGGUUAAGUCCCGCAACGAGCGCAACCCUCGCCAUUAGUUGCCAUCAUUUAGUUGGGAACUCUAAUGGGACUGCCGGUGCUAAGCCGGAGGAAGGUGGGGAUGACGUCAAGUCCUCAUGGCCCUUACAGGGUGGGCUACACACGUGCUACAAUGGCGACUACAGAGGGUUAAUCCUUAAAAGUCGUCUCAGUUCGGAUUGUCCUCUGCAACUCGAGGGCAUGAAGUUGGAAUCGCUAGUAAUCGCGGAUCAGCAUGCCGCGGUGAAUACGUUCCCGGGCCUU